CUUAAUCUUUAGUUACUAUAGAAGCGGUUAGUGGCGGACUGGUGAGUAACGCGUAAGCAAUCUGCCUAUUAGAGGGGGAUAACAGUGAGAAAUCACUGCUAAUACCGCAUAAGCUGUGAAUAUCGCAUGAUAUAAAUAGAAAAGGAGUAAUCCACUGAUAGAUGAGCUUGCGUCUGAUUAGUUAGUUGGUGAGGUAACGGCCCACCAAGACGAUGAUCAGUAGCCGGACUGAGAGGUUAAACGGCCACAUUGGGACUGAGAUACGGCCCAGACUCCUACGGGAGGCAGCAGUCGGGAAUAUUGCGCAAUGGAGGAAACUCUGACGCAGUGACGCCGCGUGCAGGAAGAAGGUUUUCGGAUUGUAAACUGCUUUAGACAGGGAAGAAAGAAACGACGGUACCUGUAGAAUAAGCUCCGGCUAACUACGUGCCAGCAGCCGCGGUAAUACGUAGGGAGCAAGCGUUAUCCGGAUUUAUUGGGUGUAAAGGGUGCGUAGACGGGUAUACAAGUUAGUAGUGAAAUCCCUCGGCUUAACUGAGGAACUGCUACUAAAACUAUAUAUCUUGAGUACUGGAGGGGAAAGCGGAAUUCCUAGUGUAGCGGUGAAAUGCGUAGAUAUUAGGAAGAACACCGGUGGCGAAGGCGGCUUUCUGGACAGAAACUGACGUUGAGGCACGAAAGUGUGGGGAGCAAACAGGAUUAGAUACCCUGGUAGUCCACACCGUAAACGAUGGAUACUAGGUGUAGGUGGUGAUGAAUCAUCUGUGCCGUCGCAAACGCAAUAAGUAUCCC
rnacentral:rRNA from 1 species